UACGUAGGGUGCGAGCGUUAAUCGGAAUUACUGGGCGUAAAGCGUGCGCAGGCGGUUUUGUAAGCCAGAUGUGAAAUCCCCGGGCUUAACCUGGGAACUGCAUUUGGGACUGCAAGGCUUGAGUGCGGCAGAGGAGACUGGAAUUCCUGGUGUAGCAGUGAAAUGCGUAGAUAUCAGGAGGAAUACCGAUGGCGAAGGCAGGUCUCUGGGCCACUACUGACGCUGAGAAGCGAAAGCAUGGGGAGCGAACAGG
rnacentral:rRNA from 1 species